GAUGAAGAACGUAGCGAAUUGCGAUAUGUAGUGUGAAUUGCAGAAUUCAGUGAAUCAUCGAAUCUUUGAACGCACAUUGCGCCCCUUGGUAUCCCGAGGGGCAUGCCUGUUCGAGCGUCAUUUCACCACUCAAGCCUGGCUUGGUGUUGGGCGACGUCCCCUUUGGGGACGCGCCUCGAAACGCUCGGCGGCGUGGCACCGGCUUUAAGCGUAGCAGAAUCUUUCGCUUUGGAAGUCGGGGCCCCGUCUGCCGGAAGACCUACUCGCAAGGUUGACCUCGGAUCAGGCAGGGAUACCCGCUGAACUUAAGCAUAUCAAUAAGCGGAGGA
rnacentral:misc_RNA from 1 species